CGCUGCUGAGGACCCGUCUCUUGAUUCGCCGGCGUAAGCAUCAAAGAAGCCAUGUUCAAUCAAGAUUGCCAUGCUUGAUAUGCUUGUUAACAUUGAUAAAAGGGCUGCAGUCAACAACUCUUUGUUCUCACUAGAUUUCUUCAUCCAUGCUCCAUACCAUAUGAUCAUAUUUCCAUGGAUGCUUCUCAAUAUGGAACUCUGAGCACAACCAAGGCUCUCAGUGCUCCCAGAAAAGUGCUUAAGCGUUUCAAU
rnacentral:misc_RNA from 1 species